UCAGCUCCAUCGGGAGGCACUCGGCCAUAGCCGUCAUCCCCAUAUUCGAUUUCGGGAAGGGGCUCCAGCGUGCUCCAGCAGGGCAUGCGGGAACGAGGUGACAGGACCCCGGAGGUGUUGUGGGAGGACGAGUUUUUCAGGAUGUUAUAGUUGCCAUCUUGCUCAUACUUCCUGCUUUCCAAUGAGGAAGAGGAGCGAUGAUUGGUGUCUUGACCUCUGUAGGCCAGAGGUUGAUCCUGAUGAAGCAUUCCUGGUCUGGACUGGUUCUCACUGUAAUGACACAGGAUAAGUGGAAUACAUUAACAUUCACGUUGCACUGUAUUGGAGUGUUUCCUAAUCUUUAGUGAGCCAGGGCACAUAUUUUACAGAAGAAAACCCAUCAAUUAAUUAUGUACUUCUUGCCAUCUCGUGGAAGAGCAAUUCAUUGUUCUGCCGGUCACUAUACGUCACUGGCAUAGAUAGUUGAACAAAGAUACAAUUUUUAUAAUAAACUUGAUCAUUUCCUGCAGCACACCGGUUGGGAAUCACUGCCAUUACCAACAUUUGAAGACAUCUUUCAUAUAAUUCUUGAUACAUUUAUAUCACACAUCACCAAGGUGAACAUAUCCUGCAUUUAUUUGCAAUUUUACACAAUAUUGAAUCUCAUAUGUCCAAAUUUGGUAAAUUUCCUGUUUUUUCAAUAUUCUAUACUUUGUCAGUCCGUUCACGGGUCUGUUAGUUUUAUAAAUUACUGACCAGUCUUAAGUGAUGAAAAUGGCUGGCUCUCUUUGGCGGACCAAUGUUAGUGUCUCAUCAAACGUUUUUAUUUUUAUUUUUUAUUUUUUGGGGGGCUUUCCUCAAAACUGAUGGUUUUGGAUUCUGCCCGACGCCAGCGAUAUGUGUAUUUGUCAUGAUAUCAUUAUACUGGUCCAAAUGAACGUGAAUUUACAAUUGUA